UACGGAGGAUGCAAGCGUUAUCCGGAUUUAUUGGGCGUAAAGCGUCCGCAGGUGGCUAUUCAAGUCUGCUGUCAAAGCUCGGAGCUUAACUCCGAAUCGGCGGUGGAAACUGAACAGCUAGAGUGCAGUAGGGGUAGAGGGAAUUCCCAGUGUAGCGGUGAAAUGCGUAGAGAUUGGGAAGAACACCGGUGGCGAAAGCGCUCUACUGGACUGCAACUGACGCUCAGGGACGAAAGCUAGGGGAGCGAAUGGG
rnacentral:rRNA from 1 species